rnacentral:rRNA from 1 species
CAGUCGCCGCGGUAAUACGAAGGGUGCAAGCGUUACUCGGAAUUACUGGGCGUAAAGCGUGCGUAGGUGGUGGUUUAAGUCCGUUGUGAAAGCCCUGGGCUCAACCUGGGAAUUGCAGUGGAUACUGGGUCACUAGAGUGUGGUAGAGGAUAGUGGAAUUUCCGGUGUAGCAGUGAAAUGCGUAUAGAUCUGGAGGAAUACCGGUGGCGAAGGCGGCCAUCUGGGACAACACUGACGCUGAGGCACGAAAGCGUGGGGAGCAAACAGGAUUAGAUACCCCUGUAGUCCCUGUCUCUUAUAC